CUCCCAAUUCAUGCUGCUGUUUGGGAGUCUGGGGAUCGUGGCCUUAUACUGGAGGAAGUAUGUCACUGAAGGUGGACUUGGAGAGUUUAAAACUUGUACCAUUUCAAAUUUACGCUCUUUCCAACUUGUAGUCAGGAGCCCUGCUCCUGUGGCCACGCCUGCCACUUGCUGCCUGUCUCCCUGCUUCUUACCUCUCUGGAACCACAGACCAAGCAAACCACAGGCCAAGCAAACCACAGGCCAAGCAAACCACAGACCAAGCAAACAGAUCAAGCAAACCACAGGCCAAGCAAGCCCUUUCCUCUCUAAGUCACCUUGGCCAAGCCACUUUUAUCACA
rnacentral:lncRNA from 1 species